CUCUCUUAUACAUUUCGUCUCUCCGGUCCAUUGUUGUGUGUCUCUCUUAUACAUUUUGUCUCUCUGGUCCAUUGUUGUGUGUCUCUCUUAUACAUUUUGUCUCUCUGGUCCAUUGUUGUGUCUCUCUCUUAUACAUUUUGUCUCUCCGGUCCAUUGUUGUGUGUCUCUCUCUUAUACAUUUUGUCUCUCCGGUCCAUUGUUGUGUCUCUCUCUUAUACAUUUCGUCUCUCCGGUCAAUUGUUGUGUCUCUCUCUUAUACAUUUCGUCUCUCCGGUCCAUCGUUGUCUCUCUUAUACAUUUUGUCUCUCCAGUCCAUUGUUGUGUCUCUCUCUUAUACAUUUCGUCUCUCCGGUCCAUUGUUGUGUCUCUCUUAUACAUUUCGUCUCUCCGGUCCAUUGUUGUGUCUCUCUCUUAUACAUUUCGUCUCUCCGGUCCAUUGUUGUGUCUCUCUUAUACAUUUCGUCUCUCCGGUCCAUUGUUGUCUCUCUCUUAUACAUUUCGUCUCUCCGGUCCAUUGUUGUGUCUCUCUCUUAUACAUUUUGUCUCUCUGGUCCAUUGUUGUGUGUCUCUCUCUUAUACAUUUCGUCUCUCCGGUCCAUUGUUGUGUCUCUCUUAUACAUUUCGUCUCUCCGGUCCAUUGUUGUGUCUCUCUCUUAUACAUUUGGUCUCUCCGGUCCAUUGUUGUGUCUCUCUCUUAUACAUUUCGUCUCUCCGGUCCAUUGUUGUGUCUCUCUCUUAUACAUUUCGUCUCUCCGGUCCAUUGUUGUGUCUCUCUUAUACAUUUUGUCUCUCCGGUCCAUUGUUGUGUGUGUCUCUCUUAAACAUUUUGUUUCUCAGGUCCAUUGUUGUGUGUCUCUCUCUGAUACAUUUAGUCUCUCCGGCUCCAUUGUUGUGUCUCUCUCUUAUACAUUUGGUCUCUCCGGUCCAUUGUUGUGUCUCUCUCUUAUACAUUUCGUCUCUCCGGUCCAUUGUUGUGUCUCUCUCUGAGACAUUUCGUCUCUCCGGUCCAUUGUUGUGUCUCUCUCUUAUACCAUUUUGUCUCUCCGGUCCAUUGUUGUGUCUCUCUCUUAUACAUUUUGUCUCUCUGGUCCAUUGUUGUGUGUGUCUCUCUUAUACAUUUUGUCUCUCCGGUACAUUGUUGUGUGUCUCUCUCUUAAACAUUUUGUCCCUCCGGUCCAUUGUUGUCUCUCUUUUUUUUGGCUCUUCAGUCUAUUGUUGUGUCUCUCCUUCUAUCUAUAGUUCUGUGUCUCCUUGCAUCUGUAUCUCCUUCUGUGUAUCACUUUGUCUCUCCUUCUGUCUCAUUCGUCGUCCUUCUAUCAUUCUCUCUCUUUCUGUCUAUCGUUUAUGCCUCCUUCUGUCGUUGUCUCUCUAUCUAUAGUUCUGCUUCUCUUUACGUCUUUGUCUCUCUUCUAUCAACGGUUGUGUCUCUUCUUCUGUCCAUCUUCGCGUAUCUCCCACCGGACAUCAUCGUCUCUCCUGUAUAACGUUGUGUCUCUAUUUAUAAUUUUAUCUCCUGUCUUUCUGCCUCUCCUGUCUGUUGUGUCUCUCCUGCUUUCAUUCUCUCUCUCUCUCUCUCUCUCUCUUCUCUCUGUCCUUUUUUGUCUCUCCUUCUAUCUAUCAUUCUGUCUCCCUCUGCGCUCACUGGGAACAUUAAAUGUCCUUGACAUCCCUUUCCCACAGUCUCUCUCUCUCUCCCCCCUUUCUCUCUCUCUCUCUCUCGC
ensembl:lncRNA